rnacentral:lncRNA from 1 species
CACCUUAUAAAAUUGUCGUCAUCCAAUCUAGAUGUCGGGACCGCAAAUUCAUUCAGUGUAAACUUUAGGAGAUUUCGUAUGUAAAUAACACAAAUUUCGUAUAUCUCUUUAUGUUGACUGGGUCAUAAAUUAUGUCAACGGAUUUGAAUUACUAUUUGAUAUAGCUUUCCUGUAUGGAUGAUGAAUAGGAAAAUAUGUGCUAAAUCGUGCAUGUCAGUCUUAAUAUCACAUUUAUUUGUGUAUUCGACGAGUUGUAUUAAAUGUAACCUAUGCAUAACAAGUUGACAACAUUCGCGUUUCAUCUAAUCUUAGAGUCAUAAACUCCCGCCCUUUAAAUGGGACGUUCAUAAGAUUGAUUUGGGUGCAUUCUAUUUUAUUUAGGACAUUUUUCAAUUCAUGACUGUAACUGUCUGGAAAGAGGAUUGACAUUAAAAGGUUGACGACAAAUUUAAAAAGGUAAGUUCCGGGAUAACAAAUAACGAAUAUUAACAUGCAUUUGCUGCUAACAAAGAUUUCAUGAAAUUUCCAAUUAAUUCACAUUACAUCGCUCUGUUAGCAUUGCUUUUAAGUAUUGUGGGGGUAAUGUUUUAGUAUUUUUAUCCGGUCUUCAUUUAUAGUCUUUUUUGCUAGUUAUUAUGCUACAUCGACUUUUUAUAUACUGAGAAAAAAGGGGGGGGGGGGGGGUUAUUCAGGUACUAUGGAUACCAGAUAAAACUUUUUGCCAAAGCAUACACAUAGAAGGUGGUGUUAAUUUUCCAUUACACGGGCUCGUUAGAAGCAUAGUACCCGGUAUGAUAUAUGAUAUUAUUUUAGACAAGAACAACAAGGUACACUAGUUUGAACAUCAAUAUGGUACAGUAAGUUAUACAAGGCCCCGGGGAUGACAUGACUAGAGAGAAGAAAACCAGUAGCCUAAAUUAAGCUCAAUAGAACUUGAUAUGGUCGCCAUACAAAUAAGGACUAUCACUAGAAACAGGAUCAUGGCAUAGCACAGGCUCAUUUAGAAUGCGAUGGGCUCUUUUAAAACAGUAUGUUUAAGAGUGUGCAACCCUCUCCAUAAAUAUAGGAGAGUGGUGCUUCACUACAAAAUUAAAACAAACAUCAGUUGAAAAGGGCUCUACUUAUUAGAUCGAUACAAUUAACAAAAUGAUUACGCAUGUUCUUUUAGAUGCAAAUUAAGACAGUUUGGUAACGGUAGUUCGGAACUUCUUCAAUCCAAUAUUUACAUAAACAUGCAGUUCUGAAUAACAUUUGAUGAUAUGGACUUGUGUAAAAAAAUAAGCUUAUAUAGACUCUUCAACAUUUUUAAAAAGUUUAUUAUAUUUCAUCCAGUUAGUUUUGACCCAAUGGGCCUCAGUAAAACAAAUUCAGGGGAAGUUUGCAUCUAUGUUCACUAUUGAUAUUCUCAUAUGAAAAAUAUAAUUACAGAAACUUGAGGUGACGGUUUAAAUAAUAUAUAUAUUUGUACUUUACAAUGUCUUAAUUAAUGCACAUGACUUUGUAAACUUACAGCUAUUUCCAAUUUGUCAUUCUGUAGUCGGGGAUGGCAACGCAUUGUCUUCGGGACAUAAACAAACGUAAUUUAUGUAAUUUACUUACUUACGAUAAUUUAUGUUUGGUUUAUUUAGUGCAAUAAUGUUCUGAAAAUUUUUUAAAGGUCACUCAUAAUGCGCUAUUUAUAAUGUCUAAAAAAGGAAAACAUGAAACGCAAAAAUACUAUACAGUUACAAUAACCACAUCAGCCGCUGACAUAUAACUUCUCUGACUAAAACAGACACAGAAACAAGGUAUCAAAACAACAAAAAGACAAGUGUCCAUCUUAAUUAAGGUUCUGUGUAACCGCAAAUGAUUCAGAUAGCCCAAUUCGGUACAGACACAAAAGUGUUGUGUUAAACCAGUUUUAAGUGAUCACCGACUUAACCGUUUGCCUAUCUAGACUUAUAAGUUGUAAAUCAAAGAAAGCAAAAAUAUUCAAAGAAUCUAAGAAAUGUUGCUACAGUUAACUGUGGAGAAACAACAAACAGAUAACAAAGUCUUUAGUUUAAAUCGGAGAUGAAUAUGCUAUCAUGAAACUCUCAUGUAGGUCCUGAAUAUAGAUUGGUAUCUAUUGAAUUGUAUCAAUUUCUUAAAUUUUAAAUAUGUGAUUUUCAAAAAUGUAUUCCAAACUUAUGUUUAAGACCCCCUCACGGAACUUUUCAAGUAAUUUGCGUAACAUGUUUUGGUUCUGCCCUUUCAUGAUACAUAUAAAUGCAGAACAAAUAUCUUUGAACUCUUUUUAUUAUUGUGUAUUAAUGGUAUUUUAUCGUUUCUAUACGACAAGAUAAAACUUACACCCAUAUUUUAUUGCCGUUUUUAAUACAUGUAUUGAUUUUGACUAUGUGUGCAAUUCAGGUAGAAAGUUGAAAUUUACUUUUAAAUUAAAGUUUAGAUCGGAUUUAGCAUUCCAACUACAACCAAUUUCAUUUUUUAUCACGUGUUUAAAUCUUCCUGAUAAUGUUAUUUACUUUUAUCAAAUUAAACCUAUAAAUUUAUAGUUUGACAAACAUAGUAAGGCCAUUGUGAAGUGAUCAGUAAACAGCCAAAUUAACCUGGAGACGCCCUCAACACGGAACCUAAUUCAGGACGGAGAUAGUCACUUGUCUUUGCAAAGACAAGAGUCCAAGGUCCGUUUUAUUGAAUAAUUAUAUACGAAUGAUCUUAAUACCGACGCCGGGUACUGACGUCACACGGUCCUUACCGUCUUGAUUGGUUUUGUUUUAGUGUACACUUUUGUACUGACUUGUGAAGCUUUAAAAGUUUAAAUUGAACAUUGCUAAAAGUAAAAUGUGUGCAAACGAUUAAGUAAGGGUUAUAUGAGGCAGAUCUAAUUUUUAUCCUAUUGAAAAGUAAAAUAGAUUAAAAAAAAAAGUACUGAACUCCAAGAAACCCAAAACAAAUGCCGCAAUAUCUCAAUUACACAUCCAAUGAAUGAAUGGACAACAACUGUCAUGUUCUUUACAUGGAACACACGGUACAGCCGAGGGAAUUUAGGGGGAGGGUUAAACCCUGUUACAUUUGUUUGACUGUAUGACUUUCUGUACGCACGAAUGUCCCGAAAUUGAUUGUACACAAUGGUUAUUACGUCAAACCACACAUCAAAUUUGAAUUUUUAUCAUUGUUACCGUUCUAGAGUUAUAGAUAUGGUAAGCUUACCGAUGAGACAACGCUUCAUCGUUUGUUUAUGCGUUACAUAUUUGUUUUUGGUUCAUUUUUUGCACAUAAGGCCGUUAGUUUUCUUGUUUGAAUCGCUUUACAAAUUCAUUUUGGGGCCUUAUAUAGCUGACUAUGAGAUAAAGGCUUUGAUCGUUGUUGAAGGCCGUAAUUUCUGUGUCAUUUUGGUCUCUUGUGGAGAGUUGUCUCAUUGGCAAUCAUAUCACAUCUUCUUUUUUAUAUGUAAUAGUUUGUCCCUUUAUAGCGCUAUAUGCAAGCGGGGCAUCAUCUGUGUCCCAUGGACACAUUCUUCAUUCAUUGAUAUAUUUCUUUUAUGAGUCUAAAAGAUUGUGUAACAAUACCGAUAAAUAGAUGGAAAACAAAACACUAAAAAGUGUUGAAUAUCAUCGCACAAAGAUGGAAAAACUGAACAGAUGAUAUAAAUUAUACAAUAAUUUAGUGUUUUGUUUUCCAUCUAUUUAUCGGUAUUGUUACACAAUCUUUUAGACUCAUAUAUUUUUUCCUGUUUGUGUAGUAUUGUCAACUUUGAUGAUCCAAUACCUAUUAAGUUUACUGGUUGGUAGAUUCUUAUAGACUCUAUAUAUAUAAAGGAAAGUUUUUAAUUGCAAUACAAAUGUAUACUUGUAACAUUUUAAUUGUAUUGACCGUGUAAACGAAUGAUAUAUCAUAUCUUACUCAUUGUUAAUCAGUUAUAAAAGAUUUGUAAAAUGUAAAAUAUUUGCCCGUGGUCUACUUUUUCGAAUGACACAUUUAUUUAUACAUUUACAUUUUUUUUUUUAUCUUCGUUUUGUUCUAGAAUUAAAUUCAAUAUUAUAGAUAUACUAUUUCAUCUUUUUCAGAAGGGAGUUAUCGAUAACGUGAUACAAAGGUCAUUGAAUGCUAUAUUUAAAGA